rnacentral:rRNA from 1 species
CCUACGGGAGGCAGCAGUGAGGAAUAUUGGUCAAUGGGCGCGAGCCUGAACCAGCCAAGUCGCGUGAGGGAAGACGGUCCUAUGGAUUGUAAACCUCUUUUGUCGGGGAGCAAAAGACGCCACGCGUGGCGUUCCGAGAGUACCCGAAGAAAAAGCAUCGGCUAACUCCGUGCCAGCAGCAGCGGUAAGACGGAGGAUGCGAGCGUUAUCCGGAUUUAUUGGGUUUAAAGGGUGCGCAGGCGGAAGAUCAAGUCAGCGGUAAAAUUGAGAGGCUCAACCUCUACGAGCCGUUGAUACUGGUUUGCUUGAGUGAGCGAGAGGUAUGCGGAAUGCGUGGUGUAGCGGUGAAAUGCAUAGAUAUCACGCAGAACUCCGAUUGCGAAGGCAGCAUACCGGCGCUCAACUGACGCUCAUGCACGAAAGUGUGGGUAUCGAACAGGAUUAGAUACCCUAGUAGUC